rnacentral:rRNA from 1 species
GAUUAACGCUGGCGGCGUGCAUAACACAUGCAAGUCGAACGAUGAAACUUAAAUGAUUUCUUCGGAAUGAACUUAAGUGGAUUAGUGGCGGACGGGUGAGUAACGCGUGAGUAACCUGCCUUACACAAGGGGAUAGCCGUUGGAAACGACGAAUAAUACCCUAUGAAACUAUCACUUCGCAUGAAGCGAUAGUCAAAGUGUUAGCGGUGUAAGAUGGACUUGCGUCUGAUUAGCUAGUUGGUGAGAAAAAAGCCCACCAAGGCAACGAUCAGUAGCCGGCUUGAGAGAGUGUACGGCCACAUUGGGACUGGGACACGGCCCAGACUCCUACGGGAGGCAGCAGUGGGGAAGUUUGCACAAUGGGGGAAACCCUGAUGCAGCGACGCCGCGUGAUUUAGAAGGCCUUCGGGUUGUAAAAAUCUUUUGUAUAGGAAGAAAAUGACAGUACUAUACGAAUAAGGUCCGGCUAAUUACGUG